GACGAACGCUGGCGGCGCGCCUAACACAUGCAAGUCGAACGAGCGAGAGAGAGCUUGCUUUCUCGAGCGAGUGGCGAACGGGUGAGUAACGCGUGAGGAACCUGCCUCAAAGAGGGGGACAACAGUUGGAAACGACUGCUAAUACCGCAUAAGCCCACGACCCGGCAUCGGGUAGAGGGAAAAGGAGCAAUCCGCUUUGAGAUGGCCUCGCGUCCGAUUAGCUAGUUGGUGAGGUAACGGCCCACCAAGGCGACGAUCGGUAGCCGGACUGAGAGGUUGAACGGCCACAUUGGGACUGAGACACGGCCCAGACUCCUACGGGAGGCAGCAGUGGGGAAUAUUGCACAAUGGGGGAAACCCUGAUGCAGCGACGCCGCGUGGAGGAAGAAGGUCUUCGGAUUGUAAACUCCUGUUGUUGAGGAAGAUAAUGACGGUACUCAACAAGGAAGUGGCGGCUAACUACGUG
rnacentral:rRNA from 1 species